AAAACCAGGCAUAGAUAAUUACCGUACUCUUAAAGAGUUCAUGGUAACCUUAACCUUUCAGAAAAAAAGCCUUUUAUUAUAUUCGUUUUAGUAAAAUUCAGUCAUUUCCAAAUUUGAAAUUUAAGAUAUUUCCCACUCCGGUAGGGGGCGGUAACGAGUAUUUUACUAACAAGCUGCGAGUGAUUUACAAACAUAAAGGAAGUGCGAAGAAACAUGCCUCGAUGCUAGUUUAGCAUUGAAUAGAAGGAUGCUGAGUGUAAAGAGAACGCUGUAUUUAUUUUAAAUGAUAUGCAGUCAGGAAACUAUAAGGACCAUUUCGGUUAUUGACGUGGAUUGGGAUAUUUCUGCGGCAAUGCUGAGUAAGUCUAGCAGCAAGCUGAAUGUGUUGGUCAACAAACUACACGAGUAUUUGGCCCACUCCACCAUUGAGGACAACAAGCAUAAUGCAGCCUCGCAGGAUGUGGAUGGUCUGGCAAACAGAUGCUCUGCAGAAAACACAACAGGUCGAGCUGUGACGGAGGUAAAUUUAUAUAGUGCAACGAUCACAGGAACCCCAACACACCGUUGUUAUUUGUAAUUAUACUGCUUAAAACCACAAUUAUUCUCUCUUCUCACUACAAUGAGGAGUAUACCUCCAAGCUCAGGUUGAGCUUCAUAGCAACAACCUUUCUCCUACAGGUGCAUCAGCCAGUCAGGAAAUGUUGGGAUUAAUGUUAUAUGGUGCUAGCAGGAUGGUUUUUAGUCAGGUGACUUUAAUUCUGCUUGAAUUAAAUAAAUGCUAACGGUCCCUGAUGACAAGGAUCGUCAGAUCUGAUAAUGGUUUUGAUGCAGUUAGUGUCCAGAUGUUUUCAUCAAAACAUAAUAAAUAAAUCUUAUUUAUUGAGAAAAAUUGAUACAUUACUGCUGCAGUUUAAACAAAAAAAAGUUGUGCUUUAGAAAUGCCAAGUAGCCUAAACCCCUGUCUUGCCCUGUAGGCACAACUGCAUGCCAGAUACUCAAGAAGGUGAGUUUUCCUUCUUACCUAUUUUGUUUGCAUAGGAAAAGCAGCAUGAAGAUAAGUGGGUGAGAGGUGAACCUAUAAAGUCUGUAACCCAUUACUUCUCUCAUUAUUCCAGAAAACCCUCUGUGGUGAUAAGACACUCGGGGCUGGAUGAAUCUGGGGACUCGAAUGCAAGUGAAAGUUCAGAACCUCUGCUCAAUGCAAAUGGUCACCUGGACGUCGCCAGUUUGCCCAAAGGUUGGUCUUAACAUAUUCAGCUUAGGUCUGUUUCCACUGCGCGGGUUCCUGUUAAAUACUGGGGGCAGGAACAUUGCGGGAACACUUCCUCUCACUUGGCACUUGGGGUAGGACAUCAGCACUUUCAAGUGCUGUGUAAUGGUUGCGCCACUGUUUCAACAGUGGCCAGGCAACCUGCCAAAAUCAUAAAGAAAACAGUGAGGGAGGAGAAGAAUGUGGGAAGAGCUGAGGUGGUUGAUGGUUUGUGUAAAAACUUGUUGUUUUGGUGAUUUCUAAUGGCAUCAGAAUGUGCUUCCAUUCAGCUCCAAGAAACACCUAAUGCCCCAUCCAGGAGUUUUGGGGGGCGUUCUAAGUACCUACCCUGGUGAAGGGACUGAUUAGUCGCAGCUAAAGUUCCUGUAAAUGGCUCUUUGGGUGGACACCAAUGGCCCCGAACCCAUAAAAUUACCCUGAAUUUCCUGCAGAGGAGCCACAUCUGUUAUUUCUUCUAUCAGUUUCAGCAUUUUGUGGACACACAUUUCUUGUAUUAUUGUGCUUAUUAUAAUAGAAUCCAACCAAUUUUACAGUUGUUGGGCAAGCACAUGUGUGUACUGUUCUGAAUGACUGCAAAACACAUUUUUAGCCAAAUGUGCCUUUAAUGUUCUCAGGCACAGUCCUCGUGCAGCCUGAACCUGCUGAUAAUGGAAGAGAUGGCUUCAGGGGUCCAGAGUUCUGCAGCAGGAAACCAAACGUGCUCUCAAGAAGACGUGGGGGUCAGUCACUUCCAGAUUUUAUAAACUGCCACACGCCUGGUUAUUGCAUGCACGGCCAUUAGAGCAAUAGAUUGUAAUGGUGGAAAGCUUACAGCGUUUGGCUCUUCAUGUGCUCGAGCAGAGGGGGAACUGGGUGGUUUUUCCAUUUUAGCCCGACUGUUAAACACAGUUAUCGCCCUUAAUGUUAAUGCAAAUGUUUUU
rnacentral:lncRNA from 1 species